UUCCACAUAACUGGUGUCCUUACUAAAAGGGAAAUUUGUUGCCAGUAAAAGAAAAAGAAAGAAUAAAAUAUUUUUUCUUGAGACAGUCUUGUUCUGUCACCCAGGCUGGAGUGUAGUGGUGUGAUCAUAGCUCAAUGCAGCCUCAAACUCCUGGGUUCAACUGAUCCUCCCACCUCCGCUUCCUGAGUAGCUGAGACUACAGUUGUGUUCCACCAUGCCCAGCUAAUUUUCUGUAUUUUAUGUAGAGAUGGUAUCUCACUAUGUUUCCCAGGUUGGACUUGAACUUCUGGGCUCAAGCAAUCCUGCCUUGGCCUCCCAAAGUGCUGGGAUUAUAGGUGUGAGCCACCGUGACUGCCCAAAGCUCCUGGAUCUCUCCACCAUCGCUCUCUUCCUGAGCCGCCUGCCUCUGAGUUUCUUCAUCACCAAGAAGAGGAUUCACUGUCAGGCCCAGCUGUCCCAAUGUCCAUCUGUCACUUGGACUGUUUCUCCAGCCUGCGGCAUGGCUGCCUCCGGGCAUGGUGGCUCACACCUAUAAUCCCAGCACUUUGGGAGAUCGAGGCAGGCGAAUCUCCUGAGG